UUCAAAUACAAAUACUUCGAGGCAUACCCCGGAUAAAAAUAUAUACAAAUACUUCGGGGGCAUUUCCCGGAAUAUAACUAACUAAAGGGAACGACCUCUGAAUGCAUAACCGUCCUAAUAUUGCCUAUUUUUUUAGCUCUCAAGAUCCUAAAUAAUUGCCUAAAUCAUGCUAAGCUCCACAAUGAACCAGUGAGUAGAAGGCUUCAUCGAUUCCAAUUGAAACUAAACAAUUUAUUUUCAGAAUAUUAUUAACUCAUGACCAAACAAUUACUAGCAUUAAAUAACCUCACAAAACCAUGUCUUAAACAUGAUAUAAUACUACUAGAUAACAACACCCCAACUUGUCAGCAUAUAACAAAAGUUUCUACAGAAAAGGAAAGGGGACGAUCGACACGAAGCUUAUCUAUCAAAAGAUGAUUAAUUACUAAAUAUGUUUAUGCCCUCAUUACCUAUAUAAGCGUGUAUUGGCAUAGAUUUGCAAAACAGAGAUUCAGAAAUUUACCAUUGGAGAUUAGAUUAAAAAUCAAACUCGAACUGACCUCACCUAGCAUAGCAAAUUAUUCACAGAAUAACAAUUGAAGUAUAUUAUGCAUGCAAACACAAAUUAUUCACAUAAUAAAAAUCUGAGAUUAAAUUAAGAACGGAGAAAGGGGUGAACCUCAAUGAGUAGAUUUCCUUCAGAUUAGAGAAGCUUUGAGUUUACAUUUUGGUCCGGAUGAAGAGCAACAGAAUUCGACAACAAAAAUUGAGUAGCGACUAGUUCAACAACGGAAACGCGAACAAGAACCACGAGCGGACACUCGAACCGGCAACGGCUCAAUAAAACUCAAGCGAAAUCCAUUUCGAACGGAAAAACAGAGAAAAGAACCGAAACUUCUUCUUCCUGGGUGUGCGCGUGUCGUUUUAGAAUAAAG
rnacentral:lncRNA from 1 species